rfam:Pseudomonas sp. TRMO17WK12:I11 isolate Yellow genome assembly, chromosome: 1
UUGGUUAGAACUGAGCACAGGCCGCAUCGCAACGAAGCGGCACUUCAGGCUCGCGACGCCGGCAGCGAGCCCAUACCGGCAGAACGAUUCUGCCCGGCCUCCAUGAGGCCGACGGGACAUUACAGUCAAC